AGUGGCGGACGGGUGAUUACCCCGUAAGAAUCUACCUUUAGGUGGGGGAUAACCAUUGGAAACGGUGGCUAAUACCCCAUAUGCUGAGGAGUGAAAGGAGGAAUCCACCUAAAGAAGAGCUUGCGUCUGAUUAGCUAGUUGGUGAGGUAAUAGCUUACCAAGGCAACGAUCAGUAGCUGGUCUGAGAGGAUGAUCAGCCACACUGGGACUGAGACACGGCCCAGACUCCUACGGGAGGCAGCAGUGGG
rnacentral:rRNA from 1 species